rnacentral:tRNA from 1 species
CAGGGGGUAUUUUAUUUAAAAUAUUAGUUUUGGGGACUAAUGAAAUGGUUUAAACACUUUUCCUCUGA